rnacentral:tRNA from 1 species
GCCGGAGUGGCGAAAUUGGUAGACGCGCCUGACUUAGGAUCAGGAGCCGAAAGGUGUGCAGGUUCGAGUCCUGUCUCCGGCA